rnacentral:rRNA from 1 species
ACUCCUACGGGAGGCAGCAGUGGGGAAUCUUGGACAAUGGGGGCAACCCUGAUCCAGCCAUGCCGCGUGAGUGAUGAAGGCCUUAGGGUCGUAAAGCUCUUUCGCCUGUGAAGAUAAUGACGGUAGCAGGUAAAGAAACCCGGCUAACUCCGUGCCAGCAGCCGCGGUAAUACGGAGGGGUUUAGCGUUGUUCGGAAUUUACUGGGCGUAAAGCGCACGUAGGCGGAUCGGAAAGUUGGGGUGAAAUCCCGGGCUCAACCCGGAACUGCCUCCAAAACUAUCGGUCUAGAGUUCGAGAGAGGUGAGUGGAAUUCCGAGUGUAGAGGUGAAAUUCGUAGAUAUUCGGAGGAACACCAGUGGCGAAGGCGGCUCACUGGCUCGAUACUGACGCUGAGGUGCGAAAGUGU